UACGUAGGUGGCAAGCGUUGUCCGGAUUUAUUGGGUUUAAAGGGUCCGUAGGCGGUUUUAUAAGUCAGUGGUGAAAUCCGGCAGCUCAACUGUCGAACGGCCAUUGAUACUGUAGAACUUGAAUUACUGUGAAGUAACUAGAAUAUGUAGUGUAGCGGUGAAAUGCUUAGAUAUUACAUGGAAUACCAAUUGCGAAGGCAGGUUACUAACAUUAUAUUGACGCUGAUGGACAAAAGCGUGGGGAGCGAACAGG
rnacentral:rRNA from 1 species